rnacentral:rRNA from 1 species
GACGAACGCUGGCGGCGUGCUUAACACAUGCAAGUCGAACGAUGAAGCCGGAGCUUGCUCUGGUGAAUUAGUGGCGACCGGGUGAGUAACACGUGAGUAACCUGCCCUUGACUCUGGGAUAACUGCGGGAAACUGUAGCUAAUACCGGAUACGACCCUCGGAGGCAUCUCCUGGGGGUGGAAAGAAUUUCGGUCAAGGAUGGACUCGCGGCCUAUCAGCUAGUUGGUAGGUAAAGGCUCACCAAGGCGACGACGGGUAGCCGGCCUGAGAGGGUGACCGGCCACACUGGGACUGAGACACGGCCCAGACUCCUACGGGAGGCAGCAGUGGGGAAUAUUGCACAAUGGGCGCAAGCCUGAUGCAGCAACGCCGCGUGAGGGAUGACGGCCUUCAGGUUGUAAACCUCUUUUAGCAGGGAAGAAGCGAAAGUGACGGUACCUGCAGAAAAAGCACCGGCUAACUACGUGCCAGCCGCCGCGGUAA